rnacentral:miRNA from 1 species
GUCAGAGAUCCAAACCCUCCGG